GCACAGGUUUUUGUCUUGUUUAACAUAAGCACUAUUUAAGAUUGUGAAAACUUCAAUUAUGCUGGAAGAUUGCUGUGCGCUCCAGUGGUGACUUUUUUUCGUAAGUAUCAUUUCCGAUGUUGAUGUUAAUUUUUAGCUUUUCGAAUCAAAUUUGGCUAUUUACUUUUCCGUUUUUAUCUUGAUACAAAAAUCUCUAUUUCUUAUUCAAUUACUGAUUGAAGGAUUUGCAGUACUCUCGAUUUUCAAGUAAAAGGUUGCCGCUGAAGCUCAAGUGGAUGCUCCCUUCUACUUAAACAAAAUUUUGGCCUUUCUUUGUUUCUUCGUUCAGCUUUAUCAUUUUCCUUAAAUAAUUUUGGGUUUCUUCAUUGUGUAGGUCUAUGCAGCUGCUACUGUCUUUCUUGUACCAUUUUUGGAGAGGAAGGGAAAUUUCCUGAGAUUGGAAAUGAUUCAGAUAGGUUGUCUUCAAUUGAGUCAAAAAGUGCAUUGGUUGGGAAUGAGCCAAAAAAUGAAGGGUUAUUGUCUGCUACAUCCUCCUCACAUGGCAAGCUGCUGAAGAUUGUAAUGCAAAAAUACAUAAGGAGCUAUCCAAAUGACUAAAAGCCUUUUUAGUGAUAGCCUCUGGAGGUAUCUCUCUCUGAAUAUGAUCAAUUCGUAUAUCAAUAGAUAGCCUUCUGUUUUGCCUUGUUGCACAUUUUGCCACCAUUAAUCUGUUGUUCUGUUUAGGACAUAAUUUA